GACGAACGCUGGCGGCGUGCCUAAUACAUGCAAGUCGAACGCAGUGGGGACGGGAGAGUAACACGUGGGUAACCUCCCAUGCGAAGGGCUAACACAUGGAAACAGGUGCUAAAACCGAUACUGAUGGAUGGACCGGCUGUUCAUUAGCUGUUUGGCGAGGUAACGGCUCACCAAGGCCACGAUGCAUAGCCGGCCAGAGAGUGUGAUCGGCCACACGGGGACUUAGACACGGCCCAGACUCCUACGGGAGGCAGCGGUAGGGAAUCUUCGGCAAUUGACGAAAGUCUGACCGAGCAACGCCGCGUGAGUGAAUAAGGUUUUCGGAUCGUAAAGCUCUGUUGUUAGAUAAGCGGUAUCUAACCAGAAAGCCACGGCUAACUACGUGCCAGCAGCCGCGGUAAUAC
rnacentral:rRNA from 1 species